rnacentral:rRNA from 1 species
UAGGGAAUCUUCCACAAUGGACGCAAGUCUGAUGGAGCAACGCCGCGUGAGUGAAGAAGGUUUUCGGACCGUAAAGCUCUGUUGUUGGUGAAGAAGGAUAGAGGUAGUAACUGGCCUUUAUUUGACGGUAAUCAACCAGAAAAGUCACGGCUAACUACGUGCCAGCAGCCGCGGUAAAUACGUAGGUGGCAAGCGUUGUCCGGAUUAUUGGGCGUAAAGCGAGCGCAGGCGGAAGA